rnacentral:rRNA from 1 species
GAUGAACGCUGGCGGCGUGCUUAACACAUGCAAGUCGAACGAAGCACUUUAUUUGAUUUCCUUCGGGACUGAUUAUUUUGUGACUGAGUGGCGGACGGGUGAGUAACGCGUGGGUAACCUGCCUUGUACAGGGGGAUAACAGUUGGAAACGGCUGCUAAUACCGCAUAAGCGCACAGCAUCGCAUGAUGCAGUGUGAAAAACUCCGGUGGUAUAAGAUGGACCCGCGUUGGAUUAGCUAGUGGGUGAGGUAACGGCCCACCAAGGCGACGAUCCAUAGCCGACCGGAGAGGGGGACCGGCCACAUUGGGACUGAGACACGGCCCAAACUCCUACGGGAGGCAGGAGUGGGGAAUAUUGCACAAUGGGCGAAAGCGUGAUGCAGCGACGCCGCGGGAGCGAAGAAGUAUUUCGGUAUGUAAAGCUCUAUCAGCAGGGAAGAUAAUGACGGUACCUGACUAAGAAGCACCGGCUAAAUACGUG